UACGUAGGGUACAAGCGUUGUCCGGAAUUAUUGGGCGUAAAGAGCUCGUAGGCGGUCUGUCACGUCGGAUGUGAAAACUCGGGGCUCAACCCCGGAGCCUGCAUACGAUACGGGCAGACUUGAGUUCGGCAGGGGAGACUGGAAUUCCUGGUGUAGCGGUGAAAUGCGCAGAUAUCAGGAGGAACACCGGUGGCGAAGGCGGGUCUCUGGGCCGAUACUGACGCUGAGGAGCGAAAGCGUGGGGAGCGAACAGG
rnacentral:rRNA from 1 species